rnacentral:lncRNA from 1 species
AAGAUAUUAAGUGACUGGUUUAGUUUGUGUGCUUGUUUGUUGUUUGUUAGCAGGGCUACUAAAAAAGACUGUAGUAGUGCUUGGCCACUCACAGAAGUGAAUAGUUUUUGGAUAUAAUCUGAAAUUAAAAGAUUUACCAUUUUAAUGUGGUCAACAAAACCUUAAGAAAGAAAAACAUCUGGGCCUACAUCUCCUUCUUGAUUCAAGGACUCCGUUCACAUGUGGAGGAAAUCUUCAGCCUGGGUGGAGUUACAACAGUCUUGAUCUGGUCUCCUCAUAUUAUGUAACUCAUGUCUGAUUGGUUGCAACACUAUUGCCAGUCUGCAUUCUGGCAAAUGGCAUCUAUGCCUGAAUAAACAGCCAUCGAUUUAUUUCAGAAAGCCAGUCAUCCAGUCGUGUCACUUAUUUAAACUUAAGAUGAGUUCAGUGAUUUAAAGGAUCCUGACAACAUGCAUCUAAGGUUACAGAGAGUGAAAACCUGAGGUUGUCUUGAUGCAUCAUCCAGGUGAGGAAAUCCCAAAAAGUGCUGAAACGUUUCUCCCACUAAAAAUCCUAAAUCCAGAUGAACACAAUCAACAUUUUGGGAAAACCCAAGCUACAAUCACCUACGAUAUAAAACAUCAGAUAAAAAGCUCUUCUGUCGAGAUGGAAAAUUACUGA